UAGAACUGGGAAUGGAGCGGCUGGUUUGAAAUGACAGCCUAAUUGAGGUUACACUACAUAUUUAUAGAGUAGCUAUCCAAGCACGUGGCAAAACCUUAAUCUACAAGCCAAUCUCAAGACUUCGAUGUUCUCCGCUGUCACGUCAGAUCAACUUGGUUUGAAGCAGACAGUCCGUCGUUUGAGGAGGUGUUGAUCCAUGAAGUAACGCACAAAGGUUUCAAAGGAUACUAUGAGGCAGUUUUCUUCUCUUUCCAAAGUUUCUUGAAUUGCGACGGAUUGAUCCAUAGCAAAGACAGCUCGUUAGAAGCUGCUUAGUGUGACAACUUCAGCUCUUCACACGAAAGUACCCGGAGGAGUUUCCGUCCCAGCGCACUUAUUCCUCUCUCAGGUAAAAGCCAAAUGUACAGCAGGAGCAGAGACGUUCAAGCAGACCCGUGUAAUCCGACAUUUUAUUCCCUUUGGAUCCAGAUGUGUUUUUCUUCUUCUUCUUCCUCCGCUGCUGGCCCGACCCAGUCUGCCACGCACUGAUUCACCAGCGCUGCGUGCAGCCGGAGUGACGUCACGGCUGGGCUGUCAUCAUCAGCUCGGUUUGGUUGGAUUAGGCCUCAGGACAGGGAUCCAAAGAGGAUUAGCUCCGACAAUAGAGUGUAUCCUCCUUACUAAUUACUCAAAGUUCGAUCAACGCUUUCAAGGAGGAUUGAUCAACCAUGAAUUCAGGAGCCUCUUGAUUGAGGCAACGAGGUUCACCUGGCUGUGGGCCUUAAAGUUUGCAGUUGAGUUGAGGACUGCUGUCUGGCUGCCUCUCCUUCAGGGGAUUUGUGUUUGUGUUUUUGUUGUGUGCUGUUACAGUAUAGUUUAUCUUUGUUGAAUUGUUUAACCCGUUUGUGGUUUUACAUUAAAUCCCUUUUGUCAUACAUUAAAA